UGCACAGUGGCGCAGUUGGUAGCACUGUUGCCUUCCAACAAGAAGGUCCUGGGUUCGAUUCCUGGCAGGUCUUUCUGCAU